rnacentral:rRNA from 1 species
GAUGAACGCUGGCGGCGUGCCUAAUACAUGCGAGUCGAGCGAACAGACGAGGAGCUUGCUCCUCUGACGUUAGCGGCGGACGGGUGAGUAACACGUGGAUAACCUACCUAUAAGACUGGGAUAACUUCGGGAAACCGGAGCUAAUACCGGAUAAUAUAUUGAACCGCAUGGUUCAAUAGUGAAAGACGGUUUUGCUGUCACUUAUAGAUGGAUCCGCGCCGCAUUAGCUAGUUGGUAAGGUAACGGCUUACCAAGGCAACGAUGCGUAGCCGACCUGAGAGGGUGAUCGGCCACACUGGAACGGAGACACGGUCCAGACUCCUACGGGAGGCAGCAGUAGGGAAUCUUCCGCAAUGGGCGAAAGCUUGACGGAGCAACGCCGCGUGAGUGAUGAAGGUCUUCGGAUCGUAAAACUCUGUUAUUAGGGAAGAACAAAUGUGUAAGUAACUAUGCACGUCUUGACGGUACCUAAUCAGAAAGCCACGGCUAACUACGUG